UACAGAGGGGGGCAAGCGUUAUUCGGAAUUAUUGGGCGUAAAGGGCUCGUAGGCGGCCAACUAAGUCAGACGUGAAAUCCCUCGGCUUAACCGGGGAACUGCGUCUGAUACUGGAUGGCUUGAGGUUGGGAGAGGGAUGCGGAAUUCCAGGUGUAGCGGUGAAAUGCGUAGAUAUCUGGAGGAACACCGGUGGCGAAGGCGGCAUCCUGGACCAAUUCUGACGCUGAGGAGCGAAAGCCAGGGGAGCAAACGGG
rnacentral:rRNA from 1 species